UACAGGGGGGGCAAGCGUUGUUCGGAAUUACUGGGCGUAAAGCGUGCGCAGGCGGUUCGCCAAGUCAGGUGUGAAAUCCCCGGGCUUAACCUGGGAAUUGCGCUUGAAACUAGCGGGCUUGAGUGUGGCAGAGGGGGGUGGAAUUCCACGUGUAGCAGUGAAAUGCGUAGAGAUGUGGAGGAACACCGAUGGCGAAGGCAGCCCCCUGGGUCAACACUGACGCUCAUGCACGAAAGCGUGGGGAGCAAACAGG
rnacentral:rRNA from 1 species